rnacentral:rRNA from 1 species
CCUACGGGUGGCAGCAGUCGAGAAUUUUUCUCAAUGGGCGCAAGCCUGAAGGAGCGACGCCGCGUGGGGGAUGAAGGGUUUCGAUCCGUAAACCCCUGUCAUUUGUGAACAAUGUUCAUUAUUUAAAAGAUGAUGGAUUGAUAGUAGCGAAAGAGGAAGGGACGGCUAACUCUGUGCCAGCAGCCGCGGUAAUACAGAGGUCCCGAGCGUUGUUCGGAUUCACUGGGCGUAAAGGGUGCGUAGGUGGUGGUGUAAGUUUGAUGUGAAAUCUCCGGGCUCAACCCGGAAAUGGCAUUGAAUACUACAUUGCUUGAGGAUUGGAGGGGGGACUGGAAUUCUCGGUGUAGCAGUGAAAUGCGUAGAUAUCGAGAGGAACACCAGUGGCGAAGGCGAGUCCCUGGACAAUACCUGACACUGAGGCACGAAAGCCGGGGGAGCAA